UACGUAGGGUGCAAGCGUUAAUCGGAAUUACUGGGCGUAAAGCGUGCGCAGGCGGUUAUGUAAGACAGGUGUGAAAUCCCCGGGCUUAACCUGGGAACUGCAUUUGUGACUGCAUAGCUGGAGUACGGUAGAGGGGGAUGGAAUUCCGCGUGUAGCAGUGAAAUGCGUAGAUAUGCGGAGGAACACCGAUGGCGAAGGCAAUCCCCUGGACCUGUACUGACGCUCAUGCACGAAAGCGUGGGGAGCAAACAGG
rnacentral:rRNA from 1 species